rnacentral:rRNA from 1 species
AACGAACGCUGGCGGCAGGCCUAACACAUGCAAGUCGAGCGAGCAUUUCGGUGCUAGCGGCGGACGGGUGAGUAACGCGUGGGAACGUGCCCUUUUCUGCGGAAUAGUCCUGGGAAACUGGGGGUAAUACCGCAUACGCCCUUUUGGGGAAAGAUUUAUCGGAGUAGGAUCGGCCCGCGUUGGAUUAGGUUGUUGGUUGGGUAAUGGCCCACCAAGCCGACGAUCCAUAGCUGGUUUGAGAGGAUGAUCAGCCACACUGGGACUGAGACACGGCCCAGACUCCUACGGGAGGCAGCAGUGGGGAAUCUUAGACAAUGGGGGCAACCAUGAACGAGCCAGGACGGGUGAGUGAUGAAGGCAGUAGAGUUGUAAAGCGCUUUCAGCUGGGAAGAUAAUGACGGUACCAGCAGAAGAAGCCACGGCUAACUCCGUG